UACGUAGGGACCAAGCGUUGUUCGGAUUUACUGGGCGUAAAGGGUGCGUAGGCGGCUAUUUAAGUCAGUGGUGAAAUCCUGCAGCUUAACUGUAGAACAGCCAUUGAUACUGGAUAGCUUGAGUACAGACGAGGUAGGCGGAAUUUAUGGUGUAGCGGUGAAAUGCAUAGAUACCAUAAAGAACCCCUAUUGCGAAGGCAGCUUACUAGGCUGUAACUGACGCUGAGGCACGAAAGCGUGGGGAUCAAACAGG
rnacentral:rRNA from 1 species